AAUGAACGUUGGCGGCGUGGAUUAGGCAUGCAAGUCGUGCGAGAAGUCUUUUGCUUGCAUUAGACGGAAAGCGGCGAAAGGGAGAGUAACGCGUGGGUACCUACCUCUAGGUUCGGGAUAGCUGCGGGAAACUGUGGGUAAUACCGAAUAACAUCUCCGGAUCAAAGGUGUGAUUCCGCCUGGAGACGGGCCCGCGUCCUAUUAGCUUGUUGGUGGGGUAAUGGCUUACCAAGGCAAUGAUGGGUAUCGGGCGUGAGAGCGUGACCCGACUCACUGGGACUGAGACACCGCCCAGACACCUACGGGUGGCUGCAGUCGAGAAUCUUCGGCAAUGGGCGCAAGCCUGACCGAGCGACGCCGCGUGCGGGAUGAAGGCCCUCGGGUUGUAAACCGCUGUCAGUUGGGAGGAAAUCACAUGGGGUUCUCUCCAUGUGUUGACCUAUCUUCAGAGGAAGGACGGGCUAAGUUCGUGCCAGCCGCCGCCGUAAGAC
rnacentral:rRNA from 1 species